rnacentral:rRNA from 1 species
CCUACGGGAGGCAGCAGUGGGGAAUAUUGGACAAUGGGCGAAAGCCUGAUCCAGCCAUGCCGCGUGUGUGAAGAAGGUCUUCGGAUUGUAAAGCACUUUAAGUUGGGAGGAAGGGUUGUAGAUUAAUACUCUGCAAUUUUGACGUUACCGACAGAAUAAGCACCGGCUAACUCUGUGCCAGCAGCCGCGGUAAUACGAGAGGGUGCAAGCGUUAAUCGGAAUUACUGGGCGUAAAGCGCGCGUAGGUGGUUUGUUAAGUUGGAUGUGAAAUCCCCGGGCUCAACCUGGGAACUGCAUUCAAAACUGACUGACUAGAGUAUGGUAGAGGGUGGUGGAAUUUCCUGUGUAGCGGUGAAAUGCGUAGAUAUAGGAAGGAACACCAGUGGCGAAGGCGACCACCUGGACUAAUACUGACACUGAGGUGCGAAAGCGUGGGGAAGCAAACGAGGAUUAGAUACCCUGGUAGUCCACGCCGUAAACGAUGUCAACUAGCCGUUAGGAAGCCUUGUAGUNUUAGUGGUCGCAGCGACGCGAGUAGUUAGACCGCCGUCGGGAGGUAACGGUCCGCGACGGUUAAACGUACGAAAGGAAGUUAGACGGCGNGAGACGUUGCGACGGACGACGACGAGGGAGGAGG